rnacentral:rRNA from 1 species
UACGGGGGGGCAAGCGUUGUUCGGAAUUACUGGGCGUAAAGGGCUCGUAGGUGGCCAACUAAGUCAGACGUGAAAUCCCCCGGCUUAACCUAGGAACUGCGUCUGAUACUGGACGGCUGGAGUUGGAGAGGGAUGCGGAAUUCCAGGUGUAGCGGUGAAAUGCGUAGAUAUCGAGAGGAACACCUGCGGCGAAGGCGGGUUGCUGGGCUGACACUGACGCUGAUGCGCGAAGCUAGGGGAGCGAACGGG